UACGAAGGGGGCUAGCGUUGCUCGGAAUCACUGGGCGUAAAGCGCACGUAGGCGGAUCGUUAAGUCGGGGGUGAAAUCCUGGAGCUCAACUCCAGAACUGCCUCCGAUACUGGCGAUCUUGGAGUCCGGGAGAGGUGAGUGGAACUCCGAGUGUAGAGGUGAAAUUCGUAGAUAUUCGCAAGAACACCAGUGGCGAAGGCGGCUCACUGGCCCGAUACUGACGCUGAGGCACGAAAGCGUGGGGAGCAAACAGG
rnacentral:rRNA from 1 species